AAAUUGGUGACCUAGUGGUUAGAGCAUCUGUCUUGGAUGCGGGAGGUUGUGGGUUCGAUCCCCAGUCAAGUCA